CAACUUUCAGCAGUGGAUGUCUAGGCUCGCACAUCGAUGGAGGACCCUGCGAACUGCGAUACGUAAUGCGAAUUGCAGGAUUCAGUGAGUCAUCGAAAUUUGGAACGCAUAUUGCACUUCCGGGUUAGUCCUGGAAGUAUGCCUGUAUCAGUGUCCGUA
rnacentral:rRNA from 1 species